UGGAUUCUUAUCCUGGACAGUGGUUCCAAUUUGAGGAGAGCUGGGCGCAGAGAGGAGGCAUGGAAGCGAAUACAACCUUGCAAAAUGGGUAUAUCACAACUGACGAAUAUCAAAACUGAUGAACGUGAGAUUUUCUAUCCUGAUCGGAAAAAUAAAGUUGUUGCAUAUGAUUUGGGAAACAAGACUCAAAAGGGGGAAGAGAAAUGAAGGGAGGAACAAGAAAACGCCUAUUGAAAGUAGCCACUGGUUAAUAAGGCCAUGCAAAAGCACUGCACUCCAGAUGCUGCCAGACCUGCUCAGCUUUUCCAGCAAUUUCUGGUUUUGUUUGUGGCUAAUGCAAAACUUGUAUUGGCUUAUUUUGCAGCGUUAUGCAUAUUUCUGGUCACCAUAGUGUAGAGGGUGUAACAUACAUUGACAAGGAUAGUAUCAAAAAAAAUAAAUUUUAUUGAUCAGAAAUGGGUGAACUGGUGGGAUUUUAGCUGGUUGGUUGGAAGUUGGUUUGUUAACAGGAAUGAGACACUAAAGGAGAGUGGUCACAUUUCAGAUCAGAAAUAAAAGGGUUUGUGGAGGAGUUUCUCACGGCUUGGCUUUGGGAAGGGGAUCAUUACUUACUUUUAAACAGUGACCCCUAGUUCUAGAUCCUCACAUAACAGAAAACACCCUUACCACAUUUAUCCUGUUAAGGCCCCUCAGGAGUUUAUAUAUUUCAAUCUAGUCUCUUAUAAUUCCUGUAAACUCUAGCCUGCCCAAUCAUUCCUCAUAAGACCAUCCACUUUUAUCCAGGAAUUAGCCUAGUAAACCUUCUCUGAACUGCUUCUGAUACUUUUAUGUCAUUUCUUAAAUAAGGAGACAAAUACUGUAAACAGUACUCUAACUGUGGGCUCACCAGUGCUCUGAAUAACCAUUGCAUCACUCACUACUUUUAUAUUCAUUGCACAAUGGCAGCAGUUCAGUCUUCAACACUAUUGUCCCUCGAGACUGAUUACUGAACAUAGUGAUGUCGGACUCAGCCCCACUCUCUGCAACGAGAUCCUCAGUUUCCUGACCCACAGGCCACAAUCAGUGAAGAUUGGGGACAAUAUUUCAUCCUCACUAACACUCAACACUGGAGCUCCCCAGGGAUGCGUACUCAGUCCUCUAUUGUACUCACUGUAUACCUAUGACUACGUCGCCAAAUAUCAGACUACUGCCAGUUACAAGUUCGCUGAUGACACCACCAUAACUGGUCGAAUCUCAGAUGGUAACGAAACAGUCUACAGACGGGAGGUGGAAGACAUGGAAAAUGGUGCACUGAGAACAACCGAGCUCUCAAUGCCGACAAAACUAAGAAACUCAUUAUUACCUUUGGCGGGAUGUUAUUCAUGCCCCCCUACACAUUUACAGCACAGAGGUGGAAUAA